rnacentral:rRNA from 1 species
GCUUGCUCCCUGAUGUUAGCGGCGGACGGGUGAGUAACACGUGGGUAACCUGCCUGUAAGACUGGGAUAACUCCGGGAAACCGGGGCUAAUACCGGAUGCUUGUUUGAACCGCAUGGUUCAGACAUAAAAGGUGGCUUCGUGCUACCACUUACAGAUGGACCCGCGGCGCAUUAGCUAGUUGGUGAGGUAACGGCUCACCAAGGCGACGAUGCGUAGCCGACCUGAGAGGGUGAUCGGCCACACUGGGACUGAGACACGGCCCAGACUCCUACGGGAGGCAGCAGUAGGGAAUCUUCCGCAAUGGACGAAAGUCUGACGGAGCAACGCCGCGUGAGUGAUGAAGGUUUUCGGAUCGUAAAGCUCUGUUGUUAGGGAAGAACAAGUGCCGUUCAAAUAGGGCGGCACCUUGACGGUACCUAACCAGAAAGCCACGGCUAACUACGUGCCAGCAGCCGCGGUAAUACGUAGGUGGCAAGCGUUGUCCGGAAUUAUUGGGCGUAAAGGGCUCGCAGGCGGUUUCUUAAGUCUGAUGUGAAAGCCCCCGGCUCAACCGGGGAGGGUCAUUGGAAACUGGGG